rnacentral:rRNA from 1 species
CCAGUGUGCCAGCAGCAGCGGUAAUACGUAGGUGGCAAGCGUUGUCCGGAAUUAUUGGGCGUAAAGGGCUCGCAGGCGGUUUCUUAAGUCUGAUGUGAAAGCCCCCGGCUCAACCGGGGAGGGUCAUUGGAAACUGGGAAACUUGAGUGCAGAAGAGGAGAGUGGAAUUCCACGUGUAGCGGUGAAAUGCGUAGAGAUGUGGAGGAACACCAGUGGCGAAGGCGACUCUCUGGUCUGUAACUGACGCUGAGGAGCGAAAGCGUGGGGAGCGAACAGGAUUAGAUACCCUGGUAGUCCACGCCGUAAACGAUGAGUGCUAAGUGUUAGGGGGUUUCCGCCCCUUAGUGCUGCAGCUAACGCAUUAAGCACUCCGCCUGGGGAGUACGGUCGCAAGACUGAAACUCAAAGGAAUUGACGGGGGCCCGCACAAGCGGUGGAGCAUGUGGUUUAAUUCGAAGCAACGCGAAGAACCUUACCAGGUCUUGACAUCCUCUGACAACCCUAGAGAUAGGGCUUUCCCUUCGGGGACAGAGUGACAGGUGGUGCAUGGUUGUCGUCAGCUCGUGUCGUGAGAUGUUGGGUUAAGUCCCGCAACGA